UACUUAGGGUGGAGGCGGCCCGCAGGCAGUAGGGAGAGACCCUCUGUGGGCAGAGUCUUGUGCUGGAACCGCCAUUCCUCAGCCACAGGGGCGCCCGGUGUCUUUCUGCUUUAAAUCCUGAAACUAUUGACGCCCCAGGCGGAGACCAGUGUCUACAAACCAGGCGGUCCUUGCUGAGAAUGUGACUUUCGAUUUCUCAGGGAGAGGACUUCACAGCUAUCUUUGUGGAUCUGCCCCUCCAAAAAUUUUAAAGAUAAAAAUCGCUAUCUACUCGAAACUGUCUGCUCUCAACCGUAAACCGGCUCCGUGGGAUCUCAGCCUCCUAGGACGUAGAAAGCUUCCUCCAAAUCUCCCUGGGGGUCACGUUGGCACAAAUACCUUCAAACCGUCUAAGAACGAAAAAGACCUUUCUCACUUAGAAAGAAACGUUUACUGCAGUCUUGUUUAAGUAACAUGUUUAAGUAACGUCUUAUGCGGCCUUCGCCGCGUCCAGCCUGGAGGUCUGGGCCUUCGGUCCGCACUGGGAGAGCGAUCCCCAAGGUUCCGCUAGACCUUCGCUGCGUCAGCAGACGGCCAGGGCUGCUCAGGAAAAUGCACCCCUGGGCUUGUGAAAGGGAAGCUACUCUGUGCCCUGCUCCAACUGUCUCAAGAGAACCAGAACAGAGCUGGAGGUGACCAUGAGGCCUGGGCCCCAGGCAUCCCUAAGAGCAGAUGGGGGCUCCCAGACCAGGAACACCCACCCCCAUUGCACCACACACAG